rnacentral:lncRNA from 1 species
GAAACCAAGCCGGGAGAGGCCUGGGGGCCUCAGCCCUCUGCACCCAUCUCAGCCCUAUGCCGAGUGCCACCUGGACCUGUCCACCCAGGGCCAGGAAGGGCACGGACCCCCAACCCAUCCCACGCAGGGACAAGGCCCCCCAUCCCCUGUCCACAGUCCCCCACAGAGCCAAGGUCUCCCAACCCUGUCCACAGCCCCCACACAGACUCGAGGGGCCCCCAUCUCCUGUUCUGAACCCAACAGGGUGGUCCCACUGUGGGACCACAACCAGGUAUGACUGUGUGAGAAGCAGGCUCACUACCAGGCUACCAGGGAGCACAGGGGAGCAGGCGCCACCUUGAGGCAUAAACCCAGAGAAACAAGACCUCCAAGACGGCCAGGCACUGGGGCACACGCCGGUAACACAGCACCGUGGGAGCUGAGACGGAAGGAUCGCCUGAGCCCAGGAUUUUGAAACCACCCUGGGCAACACAGUGAGACCCCGUAUCUACAAAAAAAUACACAUUAGCCAGGCAUGGCGGCAUGCGCCUGGGGUCCCAAGUACUCGGGAGGUAGAGGAGAGAAAAAUCACUUGAGCCCAGAGAGGUCAAGGCUACAGGGAGCUGAGAUCGCAUCACUGUACUCCAGCUGGGGUGAAACGGCGAGACUCUACCUCAAAAAUAAAUAAAUACAUACAUAAUUAAUAAAUAAAACAUCAAAGACCAGCCGACCUAACUCCAUCUAAAAUACACAACUUCUACGCAAAAUAUAAAUAAAAUUAGAAAACAAACUACAAUCUCAGAAAAGCACUAGCAACUUAGACGACAUACUAAAGGCCAAAAAUACCCUCCUGACACACAGCUAAUAAAGAAAAAGUCAACUAUUCCAGUUAAAAAGAAGAAAAGGAAACUGGCUGUGGUGGCUUAUGCCUGUAAUCCCAGUGCUUUGGGAAGGCCAGGAGUUUGAGACCAGGAUGGACAGCAUAGCAAGACCCCAUCUCUACAAGGAAAAAAAGAAUCAGCCAGGCAUGGUGGUGUGGAGCUGUAGUUCCAACUACUCGGGGGGCUGAGGAGGAAGGAUCGCUUGAGCCAGGGAGGUCGAGGCUGCAGUGAGCUAUGAUUGUGCCACUGCAGUCCAGCCUGGGCGACAGAGCAAGACCCGGUCUCGAAAGAAAAGAAAGAGAAAGCAAGAAAAGAAAGAUGGCUGGGCACGGUGGCUCACUCCUGUAAUCCCAGAACUUUGGGAGGCCAAGGUGGGUGGAUCAUGAGAUCAAGAGAUCGAGACCAUCCUGGCCAACAGGGUGAAACCCCGUCUCUACUAAAAAUGCAAAAAUUAGCUGGGCGUGGUGGCGGGCACCAGUCCAGGCUACUCGGGAGGCUGAGGCAGGAGAAUGGUGUGAACCCAGGAGGCGGAGCUUGCAGUGAGCCGAGAUGGCACUGCUGCACUCCAGCCUGGGCAACAGAGUGAGACUCCAUCUCAAAUAAUAAUAAAAAAUAAAUAAAUAAAUAAAUAAAUAAAAGACAUCACUCACACCUGUAAUCCCAGCACUUCGGGAGGCCGAGGCAAGCAGAUCACCUAAGGCCAAGAGUUCAAGACCAGCCUGACCAACAUGGUGAAACCCCAUCUCUACUAAAAAUAUUUUUAAAAAUUAGCUGGGCGUGGUGGCGCGCGCCUGUAAUCCCAGCUACUCAGGAGGCUGAGGCAGGAGAAUCGCUUGAACCCGGGAGGUGGAGGCUGCAGUGAGCCGAGAUCACACCAUUGUCCUCCAGCCUGGGUGACAGAGCCAGACUCCGUCUCAAACAAAACAAAACAAAAGACAUCAGCUAGCUGGUCCAAGCACAGUGGUGUUCACAACGAAUUGAUCACAGCCAGGUAGAAUUCUUCAUUCUUUCUCCAGUUCCACUGCUUUGCUUGACCAGCCUUAAAGACACACAUACACAUUUUUGUCUGGGCGCGCUGGCUCACACCUGUAAUCCCAACACUUUGGGAGGCCAAGGCAGGCGGAUCACUUGAGGUCAGGAGUUUGAGACCAGCCUGACCAACGUGGAGAAACCCCGUCUCUCCUAAAAAUACAAAAUUAGCCAGGCAUGGUGGCACACGCCUGUAAUCCCAGCUACUGGAGAGGCUGAGGCAGGAGAAUCGCUUGAACCCGGGAGGCGGAGGUUGCCGUGAGCUGAGAUCGCGCCACUGCACUCCAGCCUGGGCAACAAGAGCGAAACUCUGUCUCAAAAAAAAAAAAAAAAAGUAUAUAUUUUUAAAAGACAUUGGCCGGGUGCGGUGGCUCACGCCUGUAAUCCCAGCACUUUGGGAGGCCGAGGUGGGCAGAUCACGAGGUCAGGAGAUCGAGACCAUCCUGGCCAACACGGUAAAACCCCGUCUCUACUAAAAAUACAAAAAUUAGCUGGGCACGGUGGUGCAUGCCUGUAAACCCAGCUACCAGGUACUCGGGAGGCUGAGGCAGGAGAAUCGCUUGAACCAGGGAGUCGGAGGUUGCGGCGAGCUGAGAUCAUGCCACUGCACUGCGGCCUGGAGACAAGAGCAAGACUCCGUCUCAAAAAAAAAAAAAAAAAAAAAAAAAAAAGACAUCAACUAAUUGCAGUGUGUGGACCUUAUUUGGCUCUUAAUUCAAACUAUUAAACCAAAAAUGUGAACACACCAGGCCUUCGGUGGCAUGAAGGAAUUGUCUGUUGUGUUAGGUGGGUCUGCAGUAUUGCGAUGCCCUCCAAAAUGCUUGCAGAUAAAAGGGUGGCUGGAAUUUGGUUCAAAACAUGGGUCAGG